rnacentral:lncRNA from 1 species
UUUUUUUUUUUUCUUUUUUGGCCACGCUUGUGGCAUAUAAAAUCUUCCGGGCCAGGGAUUGAAUCCAGGCCCCAGCUACGAACUUCACCACAGCUGCAGCAAUGCAGGAUGCUUAACCCACUGCACUAGGUUGGGGAUUGAACCUGUACCAUUGCCGCAACAAUGCCAGACCCUUAACUGUCUGCACCACAGUGGGAACUCCCAGGAACAACACUCUUAAUAGUUUAUGGAGUCAGUAUCUUUCUAUACCUAUGAAAAAAUGCAAUUUAGAUCGUGACGUACAAGCUGUUGUUUGAGCUGCUUUAUUCCCUCAUACUGUGGGCAUCCCCGUGUAUUAACCAUUCACUAAUAGCAUGAUUUUCAUGUAUAUUUCUAUUUUUCCAAAAUGCUUAUGUUGAUCCUAAUUUUUCACUAUCAAGUAACACCAUGAGCAUAGUCUUUGUAUACAUUUCUUCGUUUAAUUCUUUAAAUACUUGAAUUAAAAUAAUUUAAUUCUUUCCUUCUUUCUUUAAAUUCUUUAAAAAGGAACAAUAUGUAAAUUCAGAGAAGUGGAAUUACCAGAUAAAAUAUAUUAAAAUUUUUGAAAUAAGUUUUGCGUGUUUUUCGCUAUUUUCAGUUCUCUCUUUCCGGAAAACUCCAGGAAUGGAUGUGAAUUUCUAUUUGUUGUUUCUGGGAGAAAUGGCAUUUUCUGUAAAUGUCCCAAAUAAGUAAACAUCUAUAUAAUUAUCCCAAAAUAAAAUGUUCUAGUGUUAUUAGCUUUGGUGCUCAAGGCAUUCAUCAAAACUAAAUGUUGAUCACAGUCCUUGUGGCCAACAAAGAAUAAAGUGAAUUUUCACUAGCAACAGCAGAAAACAAAUUUGAACUACACCUAUGUAUAAUUAUACUCUAUGUUUUGCCUACAAUUCCCGCUUGUAUUUGUGUGAUGUACUCACACAGAGUGUAAUGAACUAUUCUGAGGUCUGUGCCAAUACUUCUCCACAAUCAGAUAAAAGCAUGAAAUAAAUGGUAUGUUUGCAGAAAGAUAUUCACACGUUUAUAUACGUAUUUGGAAGCUUGUUUCAAGCAGUGGUGAGUUAGUGUUUCAUUAAAAAGCAUGCUUUUGCUUGAUGGUUCUUUAUGAGAUUAUGAAAUGAUUCCUCUUAACAAGGAAGAUGCUGUCUACCCUGAAAGCAGCUGGUGAGAUGGAAGGAGAAGAGGAGGAGCCCACGGAUUUAAUCCAGAAAACCAUCACUUUCAUUUCUUCAUCACUUGACUGAGCCCUUUCAAAACAUGACCUCUGUGGCUCAAGGCUUCGGUUACUCAUAGCCAGGCAAGUUUAAGGACCUGAAGUAAGCACCUUUAAAAUUCAUGUUCCAGCAAAGACAGGGGCUUUCCAAGUUAGCAAUUUCAAAAGAUGUUUGGUGAGGGUGGGGAGCGAGGAUGGCUUGCACUGCACCCACCUGUCUGCAGAGUGGGAAUUAAUCAUCUUUGGUCUGGCUUGGAGGAAGUACUCUGGGUGAAAAACAGUGGAUGCAGAAGCACAGUUUGUAUGAAGAUUAACAGCAGACCAUUCUGACAGCCUGCCAUCUCAUAAACCUCUGAUGGGCGUCUGGGCUACAACAAACAACCUGUGUAUUGCCUCUAUUUUUCCCUGCUCCACAACUUAAUACUGAAAUGUAUAAAAGGUUGCAUUUUCCAAUGGUAUAUAUAUUUUUAAUGAAACCAAGAUAAAACAUAAAAGUUCACAUUUCAAUGAUGUUUUUCUACCAGCUACUGAUGGCAGUUGAUAUAAACCAAGCUAUCUUUUAAUUUCUCCAGAAAGAAUUUCUUUUGAGCCGGUCGGCAUGUGCAGACAAGAAACCACUGGGAGGCUUGGGGGUUGGAAGUGCUGUGACAGACAGGCAUCAAGCCACAGAGCUCAGGCCUGUCUCUGCAGGCCAGUACUACCUCCAGCCCUGCAGCCUCCAUCAAGCUUGGCGAGGUGGGUAGAUAAAGUGUCGAAUUAAAGGAGAUUUACUAUUUACAAUAGCCAAGACAUGGAAGAAACCUAAAUGUCCAUUGACAGAGAAAUGGAUAAAGAAAAUGUGGUACACAUAUACAAUGGAAUAUUACUCAGCUGUAAAAAAGAAUGAAACCCAUUUGUAGCAACACAGAUGGACCUAGAGAUCAUCAUACUAAGUGAAGUAAGCCAGAUAGAGAAAGACAAAUAAUCAUGUGGUAUCUCUUAUAUGUGGACUCUAAAAAGUAGUACAAACAAACCUAUUUACAAACCAUCAAUAGUCUCGCUGAUAUAGAAAGCAAACUUAUGGUUACUAAAGGGGAAAGGUGGGGGGAGAGGGGAGAGGUAAAUUAUGGGGUUGGGAUUAACAUAUACACAUAUAAAACAUAUACUGCAGAUAACCAAUAAGGACCUAACUGACCUAAUGUAUAGCAUAGGGAACUAUACUCAAUAUUUUGUAAUAGCCUAUAAGGUCAUCAUCAAAUUCUCCCAAAUCACAGCUAAAUUAAUUGGAGAGGUUUUACUGUCCCCCCACGUCAUGAGGUUGAAACACCUUCUAAUGGCACUAGUUUAGCAACAAAUGUUGAAACAUUGCACAGUCCUACAAAAAUCUGUCCUCCACUUCACUUGGAAAAUACAGAAAACUCUCUCACCUUUGAACAUCAAAAGUCCAGAUUUCCACGAUUCGCCGUUCAGCGAGAUGGGUGAAGGCUGUUCGAGACCUUUGAUGAUGGCGGGAAAGAACUCUAAAUGCUCUGGCCUUCCCACCACCCCCAAUCCAGGACCCCGUGACCUGGGAGUGAAGCUACAUGAGGGGCACCUUGUUCUGCCCUGUGACCUUUCCAGCCCGCCCCCCUCAGGCUGAGCACAGUAUGUCACUUUCGGCAUCUGAUCUGC